rnacentral:rRNA from 1 species
ACGAACGCUGGCGGCGUGCUUAACACAUGCCAGUCGCACGGAAAGGCCCUGCUUUUGUGGGGUGCUCGAGUGGCGAACGGGUGAGUAACACGUGAGUAACCUGCCCUUGACUUUGGGAUAACUUCAGGAAACUGGGGCUAAUACCGGAUAGGAGCUCCUGCUGCAUGGUGGGGGUUGGAAAGUUUCGGCGGUUGGGGAUGGACUCGCGGCUUAUCAGCUUGUUGGUGGGGUAGUGGCUUACCAAGGCUUUGACGGGUAGCCGGCCUGAGAGGGUGACCGGCCACAUUGGGACUGAGAUACGGCCCAGACUCCUACGGGAGGCAGCAGUGGGGAAUAUUGCACAAUGGGCGGAAGCCUGAUGCAGCAACGCCGCGUGCGGGAUGACGGCCUUCGGGUUGUAGACCGCUUUCGCCUGUGACGAAGCGUGAGUGACGGUAAUGGGUAAAGAAGCACCGGCUAACUACGUG